rnacentral:sRNA from 2 species
UCUUCCGUCAUGGGGGAGUAGUCUGCCGGUGCGCCAGCACCGGGGCUGACGUCAACAAACUUGGUGUGAUCACCAUGGCGUCAGCGCCCGUCACGAGAUGGGC